rnacentral:rRNA from 1 species
UACAGAGGAGCCUAGCGUUGUCCGGAUUGACUGGGCGUAAAGCGCACGCAGGCGGUUGCGCGCGUGGGGUGUGAAAUCUGGCCGCUUAACGGCCAGGCGCCAUCCCAUACGGCGCGACUGGAGUGAUGCAGAGGUCGAUGGAAUUGCCGGUGUAGUGGUGAAAUGCGUAGAGAUCGGCAGGAACACCCAGGGGGAAACCAGUCGACUGGGCAUCUACUGACGCUGAGGUGCGAGAGCGUGGGGAGCGAACCGG